CACGUAGGGUGCGAGCGUUGUCCGGAAUUAUUGGGCGUAAAGAGCUCGUAGGCGGUGUGUCGCGUCGGCCGUGAAAACCUGCAGCUUAACUGUGGGCGUGCGGUCGAUACGGGCAUCACUGGAGUUCGGCAGGGGAGACUGGAAUUCCUGGUGUAGCGGUGAAAUGCGCAGAUAUCGAGAGGAAUACCGGUGGCGAAGGCGGCAUCCUGGACCGACAUUGACGCUGAGGAGCGAAAGCUAGGGGAGCAAACGGG
rnacentral:rRNA from 1 species